rnacentral:rRNA from 1 species
CCUACGGGUGGCAGCAGUGAGGAAUAUUGGUCAAUGGACGCGAGCCUGAACCAGCCAAGUAGCGUGAAGGAUGACUGCCCUACGGGUUGUAAACUUCUUUUAUAAGGGAAUAAAGUGCGGCACGUGUGCCUUUUUGUAUGUACUUUAUGAAUAAGGAUCGGCUAACUCCGUGCCAGCAGCCGCGGUAAUACGGAGGAUCCGAGCGUUAUCCGGAUUUAUUGGGUUUAAAGGGAGCGUAGGUGGGUUGUUAAGUCAGUUGUGAAAGUUUGCGGCUCAACCGUAAAAUUGCAAUUGAUACUGGCAGGCUUGAGUACAGUUGAGGUAGGCGGAAUUCGUGGUGUAGCGGUGAAAUGCUUAGAUAUCACGAAGAACUCCGAUUGCGAAGGCAGUUUACUAAACUGCAACUGACAUUGAUGCUCGAAAGUGUGGGUAUCAAACAGGAUUAGAUACCCCGGUAGUC